AUGAAUAUUAAGGUCUCCACAGUGUCUGAAGCUCUUUCAACACUCCAUACAUUUAAAUGGUUUCUGCCCUGUAUGAGUUUGUUGAUGUAUUCUAAGGUUUCUUCUUUGACUGAAGCUCUUUCCACAUUCAAUACAUUUAAAGGGUUUCUCCCCUGUGUGAGUUCGUUGAUGUAUUCUAAGGGCUCCACUUUGACUGAAUCUCUUUCCACAGUCAAUGCAUUCAAACGGUUUCACCCCUGUGUGAGUUCAUUGAUGUAUUCUAAGGGGACCACUACUACUAAAGCUCUUUCCACGUUCAAUACAUUUAAAGGGUUUCUCCCCUGUGUGUGUUCGUUGAUGUAUUCUAAGGUUUUGACUUUCACAGAAGCUCUUUCCAAAUUCAAUACAUUUAAAGGGUUUCUCCCCUGUGUGAGUUCGUUGAUGUAUUCUAAGGUCUCCACUACGACUGAAGCUCUUUCCACAUUCAAUACAUUUAAACGGUUUCUCCCCUGUGUGAGUUCGUUGAUGUAUUCUAAGGGGACCACUACUACUAAAGCUCUUUCCACAUGCAAUACAUUUAAAGGGUUUCUCCCCUGUGUGUGUUCGUUGAUGUAUUCUAAGGGCUCCACUUUGACUGAAUCUCUUUCCACAGUCAAUGCAUUCAAACGGUUUCACCCCUGUGUGAGUUCGUUGAUGUAUUCUAAGGGGACCACUACUACUAAAACUCUUUCCACAUUCAAUACAUUUAAAGGGUUUCUCCCCUGUGUGUGUUCGUUGAUGUAUUCUAAGGUUUCGACUUUCACAGAAGCUCUUUCCACAUUCAAAACAUUCAAACGGUUUCACCCCUGUGUGAGUUUGUUGAUGUAUUCUAAGGUCUCCACUACGACUGAAGUUCUUUCCACAUUCAAUGCAAUUAAACGGUUUCUCCCCGGUGUGAGUUUGUUGAUGUCUUCUAAGGUUUACACUACGACUGAAACUCUUUCCACAUUCCAUACAUUCAAAUGGUUUCUCCCCUGUGUGAGUUCGUUGAUGUAUUCUGAGGGAUCCAUUUUCACUGAAGCUCUUUCCACAUUCAAUACAAUUAAAUGGUUUCUCCCCCGUGUGAGUUCGUUGGUGUUUUCUAAGGUUUCCACUACGACUGAAGUUCUUUCCACAUUCAAUGCAUUCAAAUGGUUUCUCCCCUGUGUGAGUUCGUUGAUGUAUUCUAAGGUCUCCACUUUGACUGAAGUUCUUUCCACAUUCAAUGCAUUCAAAUGGUUUCUCCCCCGUGUGAGUUUGUUGAUGUCUUCUAAGGUCUCCACUUUGACUGAAGCUCUUUCCACAUUCAAUACAUUCAAAUGGUUUCGCCCCUGUGUGAGUUCGUUGAUGUAUUCUAAGGUUUUGACUUUCACGGAAGCUCUUUCCACAUUCAAAACAUUCAAACGGUUUCACCCCUGUGUGAGUUCGUUGAUGUGUUCUAAGGUGUCCACUACAACUGAAGCUCUUUCCACAUUCAAUGCAAUUAAAUGGUUUCUCCCCUGUGUGAGUUCGUUGAUGUGUUCUAAGGGUUCCACUUUCACUGAAGCUCUUUCCACACUCCAUACAUUCAAACGGUUUCUCCCCUGUGUGAGUUCGUUGAUGUGUUCUAAGGUGUCCACUACAACUGAAGCUCUUUCCACAUUCAAUGCAAUUAAAUGGUUUCUCCCCCGUGUGAGUUCGUUGAUGUCUUCUAAGGACUCCACUACGACUGAAGUUCUUUCCACAUUCAAUACAUUCAAAUGGUUUCUCCCCUGUGUGAGUUUGUUGAUGUGUUCUAAGGGCUCCAGUUUGACUGAAGCUCUUUCCACAUUCAAUACAAUUAAAUGGUUUCUCUCCCGUGUGAGUUUGUUGAUGUCUUCUAAGGUUUCCACUAGAACUCAAGCUCUUUCCACAUUCAAUGCAUUCAAAUGGUUUCUCCCCUGUGUGAGUUCGUUGAUGUGUUCUAAGGUGUCCACUACAACUGAAGCUCUUUCCACAUUCAAUGCAUUCAAAUGGUUUCUCCCCUGUGUGAGUUCGUUGAUGUGUUCUAAGGGUUCCACUUUCACUGAAGCUCUUUCCACACUCCAUACAUUCAAACGGUUUCUCCCCUGUGUGAGUUCGUUGAUGUGUUCUAAGGUGUCCACUACAACUGAAGCUCUUUCCACAUUCAAUGCAAUUAAAUGGUUUCUCCCCCGUGUGAGUUCGUUGAUGUCUUCUAGAGACUCCACUACGACUGAAGUUCUUUCCACAUUCAAUACAUUCAAAUGGUUUCUCCCCUGUGUGAGUUUGUUGAUGUGUUCUAAGGGCUCCAGUUUGACUGAAGCUCUUUCCACAUUCAAUACAAUUAAAUGGUUUCUCCCCCGUGUGAGUUUGUUGAUGUCUUCUAAGGUUUCCACUAGAACUCAAGCUCUUUCCACAUUCAAUGCAUUCAAAUGGUUUCUCCCCUGUGUGAGUUCGUUGAUGUAUUCUAAGGUUUCGACUUUCACGGAAGCUCUUUCCACAUUCAAAACAUUCAAACGGUUUCUCCCCUGUGUGAGUUCGUUGAUGUGUUCUAAGGGCUCCACUAGAAUUCAAGCUCUUUCCACACUGCAUACAUUCUAA
ensembl:lncRNA